GCCUUCAGGGGCAGUAUCGAACGACUCAUCUCUGUUGGGCGAGCUAAGGGGCCAACUGACAGCAGUCCUGCCGCAGGGACCGUCGACGAUCCUCAAG
rnacentral:tRNA from 1 species